AAUAAAAGAAAGGGAACCCUAAACCCUUUCACCAUCUUCACGUUGCCCCUCCUCUCUUUCAGCAGCUCAGCGUCGCCGCCGCCGACUCUCUCCGGUUCAGUGCCGCCGCUGCUGUAGUUUCUUCCGCUCGUGCCUCCGCAGCCUCCCUCUUAGUGGGUUUGCACUGAUUUUCUACUCUGUUGUUGUUUCUGCAUCAAGGGAGAAGAGAGCUGAUGGUGGAAGUAUGGUGGUCGCUAUUGGGGGCAGCUAUUCCAGCAGUCGUUGCAGGGCAAGCAUACAGAAUGAGGAGGAGGCAUUCUGAGGAACAGAGAAUAAAGACUGCAAGGGGAAGGGAGAAGAAUUCAGAUGAAAUUUUUGUCUGUGAGAGGGUCUGCACAUCAAAGAGAAUGUUGAAAAAGGUAGGGUCUUUCUCGAAAGAUCCGAUUCCCGAUACUUGCGUGACUGUCUGUGGACUAUCUGAACUUGAUGCCUGCACAGAUGCAUGUGCUCGCACCGUUUGUGUGAACCAGCAUCAAGUACCAAACUGGAAUGAUGUUUGUCUUAGG
rnacentral:misc_RNA from 1 species